rnacentral:lncRNA from 1 species
CUUCUAACGAACUCCUAUGUUGUGAUAAAGUUCUUAAGACUACUUUGAUCGAUAAAGAAAGAUUUAUCACAUAGUCUUUAAAUUGGUUCGCGACUAAACGAUACGCUAUUACUAGGAUGAUAGUGAUAUCAAGUAUAGAUCGUUGUGUGCCAUAUGUGUUGGUUAUCCUCAUAACCAAAUAGUAUGGAGACACUGAUAUGACAUGCA